rnacentral:rRNA from 1 species
UACAGAGGUCCCGAGCGUUGUUCGGAUUCACUGGGCGUAAAGGGUGCGUAGGUGGUGAGGUAAGUCGGAUGUGAAAUCUCCGGGCUCAACCCGGAAAUGGCAUUGGAAACUACCUUGCUAGAGGAUUUGAGGGGGGACUGGAAUACUUGGUGUAGCAGUGAAAAUGCGUAGAUAUCAAGUGGAACACCAGUGGCGAAGGCGAGUCCCUGGAAAACUCCUGACACUGAGGCACGAAAGCUAGGGGAGCAAACAGG